AUUGAACGCUGGCGGCAGGCCUCACACCUGCAAGUCGAGCGAGCGGCGGACGGGUUAGUAAUGUCUGGGAAACUGCCUGAUGGAGGGGGAUAACUACUGGAAACGGUAGCUAAUACCGCAUACCAUCAGAUGUUCCCCGAUGGGAUUAGCUAGUGGGGGGGGUAACGGCUCACCUAGGCGACGAUCCCUAGCUGGUCUGAGAGGAUGACCAGCCACAGUGGAACGGGUACACGGUCCAAACUCCGACGUGAGGCAGCAGUGGGGAAUAUUGCACAAUGGGCGCAAGCCGGAUGCAGCCAUGCCGCGUGUGUGAAUAAGGCCUUCGGGUUGUAAAGCACAUUCAGCGGGGAGGCGUUACCCGCAGAAGAAGCACCGGCGAACGCCGUGCCAGCAGCCGCGGUAAUAC
rnacentral:rRNA from 1 species